GAUGAACGCUGGCGGCGUGCUUAACACAUGCAAGUCGAACGAAGCGUAUUCAAGUGAAGUUUUCGGACAAAGCGAGGAUAUGACUUAGUGGCGGACGGAUGAGUAACGCGUGGGCAACCUGCCUUUCACAGCGGGAUAACAGAGGGAAGCUUCUGCUAAUACCGCAUAUACCUUUAUAACGCAUGUUAGGGAGGGGAAAGAAUUAUCGGUGAGAGAUGGGCCCGCGUCCGAUUAGAUAGUUGGUGGGGUAACAGCCUACCAAGUCAACGAUCGGUAGCCGGCUUGAGAGAGUGAACGGCCACAUUGGGACUGAGACACGGCCCAAACUCCUACGGGAGGCAGCAGUGGGGGAUAUUGGACAAUGGGGGCAACCCUGAUCCAGCGACGCCGCGUGAGUGAAGAAGUAUUUCGGUACGUAAAGCUCUAUCAGCAGGGAAGAAAGAAGACGGUACCUGACUAAGAAGCCCCGGCUAACUACGUGCCAGCAGCCGCGGUAAUACGUAGGGGGCAAGCGUUAUCCGGAAUUACUGGGUGUAAAGGGAGCGUAGACGGUUAAACAAGUCUGAAGUGAAAUGCCGGGGCUCAACCCCGGAGCUGCUUUGGGAACUGUAGAACUGGAGUGUCGGAGGGGUAAGCGGAAUUCCCAGUGUAGCGGUGAAAUGCGUAGAUAUUGGGAGGAACACCGGCGGCGAAGGCGGCCUACUGGACGACAACUGACGUUGAGGCUCGAAGGCGUGGGUAGCAAACAGG
rnacentral:rRNA from 1 species